rnacentral:rRNA from 1 species
UACGUAGGGGCCGAGCGUUGUCCGGAGUUACUGGGCGUAAAGCGCGCGCAGGCGGCCCCUUAAGGCGGGCGUGAAAGCCCCCGGCUCAACCGGGGAGGGUCGCUCGCGACUGGGGGGCUCGAGGGCGGCAGGGGCCGGUGGAAUGCCCGGUGUAGUGGUGAAAUGCGUAGAGAUCGGGCGGAACACCCGUGGCGAAGGCGGCCGGCUGGGCCGACCCUGACGCUGAGGCGCGAAGGCGUGGGGAGCGAACGGG